GAGAGUUUGAUAAGGUCAUUCGCAGACUAAGAGAAAACCCAAAUGCAAGGGUGGUCAUUAUUUUCGCCAAUGAGGAUGAUAUCAGGCGGCUACUCCAAGCAGCCAAGAAGGCCAACCAGACUGGCCAUUUCAUCUGGGUGGGCUCAGACAGCUGGGGCUCAAAGAUCUCUCCAGUGUUACACCAGGAGGAGAUGGCAGAGGGAGCAGUCACCAUCCUGCCCAAACGUCAGUCCAUCAGAGGGUUUGAUCGUUACUUCAUCAGCCGCACACUGGAGAACAACAGGAGGAAUAUCUGGUUUGCUGAGUUCUGGGAGAACAACUUCGCCUGCAAGUUGAGCCGACACGCUUUGAAGAAAGGGUCCGGGCUGAAGAAAUGUACA